rnacentral:rRNA from 1 species
UACGUAGGGUCCGAGCGUUGUCCGGAAUUACUAGGCGUAAAGCGCGCGCAGGCGGCCCGCGAGGUGUCACGUGAAAGCCCCGGGCUCAACCCGGGAGGGUCGUGGCAAACCGGCGGGCUUGAGGCCGGUAGAGGUGGGUGGAACUCCUGGUGGAGUGGUGAAAUGCGUAGAGAUCAGGAAGAACACCCGUGGCGAAGGCGGCCCACUGGGCCGGUGCUGACGCUGAGGCGCGAAGGCGUGGGGAGCGAACGGG